AGUGAACGCUGGCGGUAGGCCUAACACAUGCAAGUCGAACGGCAACACAGUAAGAGCUUGCUCUUACGGGUGGCGAGUGGCGGACGGGUGAGGCAUACAUCGGAAUCUACUUUUUCGGGGGGGAUAACGUAGGGAAACUUACGCUACUACCGCAUACGACCUACGGGUUAAAGCAGGGGAUCUUCGGACCUUGCGCGAUUGAAUGAGCCGAUGUCGGAUUAGCUAGGUGGCGGGGUAAAGGCCCAACAAGGCGACGCUACGUAGCUGGUCUGAGCGGAUGAUCCGCCACACUGGAAAUGAGACACGGGCCAGACUCCCAAGGGAGGGAGGAGGAGGGAAAAUUCGGAAAUGGGCGAAAGCCUGACGCAGCCAAGCCGCGGGGGGGAAGAAAGGCUUCGGAUUUUAAAACCCUUUUUUUAGGGAAGAAAAAAUGUGUGAGUAACUCCCCGCGUUUUGACGGUACCCAAAAAGAAAGCCACGGCUAACUUCGUG
rnacentral:rRNA from 1 species